UAUGGCUUUUCUGUUUUGUUCUAUCAAAUAACUUACAAUGUAAAUAUUUAUCAAUUUUUGCUUAUAAAAUGCAAUAUAUCUGAAGCCAUAAAAUCUUUGUUUCCCACAGAUUACUCCAGAUUCUUAAAGGUGAGAGGUGAGGUGACGCACGUCUGGCUGGCUGUGCGCGCGCACGCACGUACACACAAAGCAUCUCCUGUAGCUUUAAGCUGCGCUCACUCACUCACUCAGCCAGGGAGGGAUAGAGAGAGAAGGAGAAGCAGGAGGAGGAGUGUGAACAUUGCGGAGUUCUCGGGGAUUCCGAGAAUAUACAGUUCAGACUCAGACCCGACAGUCGGUGCUGGAGCCCGACGAGUUUUUGGACUCUACUUCCAUUUGGCGCGGCGCACGUCUGCGCGCAGGAAACGCUCAAGCUCGGUUAGCGGAAUCAGGUGCCGCCUCCUCCAGCCGGGCUGCUGAAGAAUGGCAGAGGAUUACAGAUGAGGACAUGGUGACCCUCUCUACCUUCCGUUGGUGUGUGUGGGGGGGGGGGGUGUGAUAUAGUUCAAUGCCGUUGGGUUACCAGGAGGAGGAAGUGAGAGGGUGGGGUUCUGCCAGGUGGCGGAUGACAGAGUGUCACAUGACAGUGUCAGUGUGUCAAGGGCACAGACAUCAGCAGCGCUGCGACAGCCUGGUUUUUUUCUUCAUUUGUUUUGAGGUUUUCACUCUAGUUAUAUAGCUCCUGGCUGUCUUCACACAUAGGUUCGGAGAGGAUGGCAGCUUUCUGCGUGUUCCUGUGCUGCUUCUCUUUCUACUCUCCAGCUAUGUGUGAAACUGCCAAGGUAAGGUUGUGUCCUCUUGUUAGAGGCGAUUAAUGAUACUGGAUGUGUAAAAAGUGAAUUAUUCCUGCUGAUGUAAAAUGUGCUGUUGGGUUUACUGUCCUGCUGCCCUGUUGACCACAAAGCGGAGGGGACUAACAGCACAGUGGCUAGCCGUGGCCUAGCUGUUAGUUACAUACUCUCACACAUUGAGCUUAUGUGGUGAUGUGAUUUUGAAUUCCGCUCAACACAUCAAGUCAACAUUUCACGUCUUGUUUCUUUUUCUGCCAGUCAUUUUUUUUUAAUCAAUAAUCAAUAAAAGAGACGUAGCCUAGCA
ensembl:lncRNA